UUAAACACUUAUUAUUGUUCCGUUAUCUCAGGAAUUACAAAAAAGACAUUAUUUGAGCUGUCCUGAAACUACAACUCCCAUAUGCUAUAAAGAGGUCGAAUCUCUGAAUGCCCCUCCCUCUCUGAAAAACCCUCCUGUUUAUCGCUCUGCUAAAAGAUGGCGCCUGUGCAAAUCUGAGGAGAUUGCGCUUUGUAGCGCGUAGGAAAUUUGACGGAUCAGAGGAGUCCACAUCAUGCAUACUUUGAAAAACCCAAGAAUAUAGGCACCUUGGUUCGAAUGCGGAGGUGUGGGUAUGGCACAAACUCUGGGGUAUCAUGGGAAUGGGCCUGCAUCUUCAUGUAAGCGUUUGCCAUGCAGACACCAACACCGGGCA